CCUGCCCAGUGACGUACGCGUUAAACGGCCGCGGUAUCCUGACCGUGCUAAGGUAGCAUAAUCACUUGCCUUUUAAUUGGAGGCUUGUAUGAAUGGAUAGACGAGAGAUUUACUGUCUCAUCAAAACCCCUAAAAAUUGACCUUCAGGUGAAGAGACCUGAAUUUUAUAAAAAGACGAAAAGACCCUGUGGAGCUUUACUACUAGUAAUUUACCUCUACAAAAAGUAAAGUUUAAGUUACAUAAGUUUAGUUGGGGCGACUUAGGAGCACUACAAAGCCUCCUUUCAGUUUAAGGAUAUACUCCUACUAAAUAUCCACACACGUGAAUAAAAAACUAGCUACCCCAGGGAUAACAGGCUAAUCCCUCUCAAGAGCCCAAAUCGACAGGGGGGGUUGGCACCUCGAUGUUGGCUUAAGACACCUCCAAGGUGCAGCAGCUUUGGUAGUAGGUUUGUUCAACCUUUAAAGUCUUACGUGAUCUGAG
rnacentral:rRNA from 1 species